ensembl:miRNA
UUACCUGGGGAUCUUGUUAAAUGGAGAUUCUGAUGUCAUAAAUCUGGAGCAGGGCCCAAGAUUCUGCAUUUCUAGCAAAUUCUCAAGUGAUGCCAGU